AACGAACGCUGGCGGCAGGCCUAACACAUGCAAGUCGAACGCCGUAGCAAUACGGAGUGGCAGACGGGUGAGUAACACGUGGGAACGUACCCUUCGGUUCGGAAUAACUCAGGGAAACUUGAGCUAAUACCGGGAUACGUCCGAGAGGAGAAAGAUGUAUCGCCGAGGGAUCGGCCCGCGUCUGAUUAGCUUGUUGGUGAGGUAACGGCUCACCGAAGGCGACGAUCAGUAGCUGGCUGAGAGGAUGAUCAGCCACAUUGGGACUGAGACACGGCCCAAACUCCUACGGGAGGCAGCAGUGGGGAAUAUUGGACAAUGGGCGCAAGCCUGAUCCAGCCAUGCCGCGUGAGUGAUGAA
rnacentral:rRNA from 1 species